rnacentral:pre_miRNA from 17 species
UCCAUCGAAUAUGACCUUUCUGGUGAGGUACAGAGCUUAGCUGAUUGGUGAACAGUGAUCAUUUUUGCUUUGUUCACAGUGGCUAAGUUCUGCACCAACGAGAGGGAAUGAUGAUCAGGGCUGU